rnacentral:lncRNA from 1 species
AUAAUGGAUAAUAUUGAUUGAUUUAUACUUUCUUGGCCACAUAUAGAGCAAAGGCAUCAUGUGAGGAAGCUGUUACUGUCUUGAAUUUCUGCCUCCUGUAUUCCUCAAAGCAAAUGAGCAGUGAAGUAGACAAGAGACCAUAAUUCCCAUAGUCAAGAAUAUUCACAUAAAGGGCCCCACAACGUGGAAGAAACUGCUGUAUUGCAUUUUGAACGCAUGGUAUUGAUUGCCAGAGAAUCAGUUAAAUUGCAGUAUGGAUAAUGAUUGGCACUGGCCUUAACCCUUUUGGCUAAAAUUGCUUGUUUGUCAUCCUGGCUCAUGGAAGAGAUAAACAAUUGCUUGCUGAUGAUCUAACGGAUCAACUGCGAGUAUCAUUUGGCAUGUCAGAUGAGAGCUGAUUUAAUGAGCUGCAGUUCCUGCCAAUU